rnacentral:rRNA from 1 species
UACGUAGGUGGCAAGCGUUGUCCGGAAUUAUUGGGCGUAAAGCGCGCGCAGGCGGUUCGCAAAGUCCAUGGUGAAAGCGCCCGGCUCAACUGGGCGAGUGCCGUGGGGACUGGCGAGCUGGAGGGGAGCAGAGGCGAGUGGAAUUCCGGGUGUAGUGGUGAAAUGCGUAGAGAUCCGGAGGAACACCAGUGGCGAAGGCGGCUCGCUGGGCUUUACCUGACGCUGAGGCGCGAAAGCGUGGGGAGCGAGCCGG